CGCCGUCGUUCAUCCAUCUUCUCGAACCCAGCCUUGGCGUCGUUCAUCCAUCUUCAGCGUUCAGCUUCAUCUUCUCGAACCCAGCCUCUCUCUGUCGCGGUUCUGCUGUCCUUCUCGCCGUUCUGCUGUCCUUCUGUGUCGUGGUUCAGCGUUCGCCAUUUCUCUUACUGUCCUUCUUGCCGUUCUGGUCGUCGUGCUGCUCGCCUCUCUCUGUCGCAGUUCUGCUCACCUCUCUCUGUCGCGGUUCUGCUCGCUUCUCUGUCGUGGUUCUGCUCGCCGUGCUGCUCGAAGGUUAGUGCUCAGUUGUGCUCCAUCUUCGUUUUUUUAGAAAUAAAUCAAGAAAAUUGGAUGCCUUUGGGUAUAAUCAAUCAAUCAAGAGCCACCGCCUCGACUUCAGUUCUCCGAUCAGCCUCCGCGCUCACGCCAGAGCCCUCGCUCCUCUUCUCCAACUAUUCCAACGCAGCUUGGCUUCCAUGGGUACUCACUCCCACAAUUUCGGAGUGUUUCUUUGCUUUCUCGAAUUCUUG
rnacentral:lncRNA from 1 species